AUUGAACGCUGGCGGCAGGCCUAACACAUGCAAGUCGAACGAGUGGCGGACGGGUGAGUACUGUCUGGGAAACUGCCAGAUGGAGGGGGAUAACUACUGGAAACGGUAGCUAAUCCCGCAUACCAUCGGAUGUGCCCAGAUGGGUAUAGCUUGUGGGUGAGGUAACGGCUCACCUAGGCGACGAUCCCUAGCUGGUCUGAGCGGAUGACCGUCCCAACGGGAAUUGAGACACGGUCCAUCCUCCUACGGGAGGCAGCAGGGGGGAAUAUGGCGCAAUGGGCAGAAGCCUGAUUCAGCAAUGCCGCGUGGAUGAAGAAGGCCUUCGGGUUGUAAAGUACUUUCAGCGGGGAGGCUUUACCCGCAGAGGAAGCACCGGCUAACUCCGUGCCAGCAGCCGCGGUAAUAC
rnacentral:rRNA from 1 species